AAAUUCUGACUUUAAGUUAUCUGUGUGCUUCAGAGAUUUGGGCAGGAGAAGGGGAGGAGCCCAGCGUCUCUGAACCCCUCUGUUACCCGUGUGGACCAUGGAACAGUGAAAAAUAAAUGUUCCUGGUUCACGACUCCAACAGCACAGAAGGGCGGCUGUUCUUCAUCCUGGAGCUUCCCUGCAGAACCAAGCAUAUGUAUAUAUAUUCCAGCAUAAACGGGCUCAUCCUACAAGGAUGCUUUGAAGGUCCAAGAAGCACUAUCCACUCCAUGGGUGAGACCAGACAGUGAAGCUCUUCCCGCCUAGAGAAUUACUUUUUGGGUUUAAAACUGCCUUGGAAAUGCGUGAAACCAUUGCAUUUCCUAAAGCCCAAAGCCUCGGAAGGUCCGAGUGUGACUGACCUUGCGGGGGGCCAGGAACAGCUCUGCAGGCAGGGUUGGUGCAGGAAGGGAAGGGGCAGGGCUCUGGGGGUGGUCUGAAGCCCGAGGCGUCCGCGGAAUGGGCCGGGUGUGUGCCUGGGGCGGACCCCGCCCAUAACCCCCGCCCAUGCCUGCGCCGCCAAGCCAGGUGCUGGCUUGAGGAGGGGCCUCCUGGACCACCUGCGGUCGCGGGGAGCCGCGGGCGUGAGGGCGGGUUGGCCGGUAGAGGCAGGCGCGGCAUCCAAUGGGCUCGGGGCACCACCCUCCCCGACCAGUCACCGCGUGGGGGUGGAGCUACCUCUGCGGGAGGACCCGGAGCUGCCCGGGGGUUGCAGAGGUCUGGCAGCUGGGCCCGCUCCCAGAGAGUUCACCUGUGGCGUUCCCGGCUGGAAACCGGAGCAGGUUUGCAGGCCAUAGGUCGGAGGUGCCUUCUCAUCCCCACCCGACAGCACUUCUCUGCUCUGGCUCCAGGAGACCUGAAGUUCUGAACAUCAGCAUGUGAGUCAGUGAUGCAGCUUGUCACAGGAUGUCAGCGUUCAGAUAAAGCAGCAGGUCCAUUUGGCACAGUGUCAUCAUCAUGUCAGGACAGGAGGGAACCGCUGAAAGUGUGAGUUCGCUGGGAUGGGCAUGCCGCGUUCUCCUGCUGUGAAUCCUUUCCGGAGUUCCAAACGGCGGGCUUUCUUUCUGGGUGGAAGGGUCCUGAAACACUCUGUGGCCGCCACCUAUGAGGAGC